GACGAACGCUGGCGGCGUGCUUAACACAUGCAAGUCGAACGGAAAGGCCCUGCUUUUGUGGGGUGCUCGAGUGGCGAACGGGUGAGUAACACGUGAGUAACCUGCCCUUGACUUUGGGAUAACUUCAGGAAACUGGGGCUAAUACCGGAUAGGAGCUCCUGCUGCAUGGUGGGGGUUGGAAAGUUUCGGCGGUUGGGGAUGGACUCGCGGCUUAUCAGCUUGUUGGUGGGGUAGUGGCGUACCAAGGCUUUGACGGGUAGCCGGCCUGAGAGGGUGACCGGCCACAUUGGGACUGAGAUACGGCCCAGACUCCUACGGGAGGCAGCAGUGGGGAAUAUUGCACAAUGGGCGGAAGCCUGAUGCAGCAACGCCGCGUGCGGGAUGACGGCCUUCGGGUUGUAAACCGCUUUCGCCUGUGACGAAGCGUGAGUGACGGUAAUGGGUAAAGAAGCACCGGCUAACUACGUGC
rnacentral:rRNA from 1 species